UGAGUAACACGUAUCCAACCUGCCGUCUACUCUUGGACAGCCUUCUGAAAGGAAGAUUAAUACAAGAUGGCAUCAUGAGUUCACAUGUUCACAUGAUUAAAGGUAUUCCGGUAGACGAUGGGGAUGCGUUCCAUUAGAUAGUAGGCGGGGUAACGGCCCACCUAGUCUUCGAUGGAUAGGGGUUCUGAGAGGAAGGUCCCCCACAUUGGAACUGAGACACGAUCCAA
rnacentral:rRNA from 1 species